rnacentral:lncRNA from 1 species
GUGAAUAUCUGUAUUACUCGAUAGUAGUGCGAUCCACGUUCAGGAAGCACUAAUCGAAGUGUGCAGCAGCAGGAUGCCUAAUGAAGUUGAUAAACGGUAUUUCGCUUAAGCAACAAGUGUAUCCCAAUGAGGCUACACGUGACCCUUUGAGGACACGUUUUCCACGUGUUAUUCUUCAAGCGGACAGCUGUAGACAAUGAGACGAAGGAACAUGACAAGAAACAGGUAAUUUUUAGAUCAGGAAAUACUGUCAGAUGUCAGUUGAAUUAACCUUUGUUUUUAGAUUAUAUAAUGAAUGAAUAAUGAGGAACUAGAAAGUCAUUCUAUUGUAGUGAUGUGGUUACUAUUUUGGCUUAAUAUGUCUACUUGCUUGAAUUGGCAUCUUUUUUCACUCUUUCGUUGAUACAAAAAGGUAUAGCUAAUUCACAAUGAAUAAUAAAGAGGUGGAUGAAAUAAAAACUGAAAAGAUAUUGGUUCCGCAUCCCUUAUUUGCCAUAUCA